rnacentral:rRNA from 1 species
UACGUAGGUGGCAGGCGUUGUCCGGAUUUAUUGGGUUUAAAGGGUGCGUAGGCGGCCACCGCAAGUCGACUGUGAAAUCUCCGGGCUUAACCCGGAAAGGUCAGCCGAUACUGCGGGGCUAGAGUGCAGAAGGGGCAACUGGAAUUCUCGGUGUAGCGGUGAAAUGCGCAGAUAUCAAGAGGAACACCGGUGGCGAAGGCGGGACUCUGGGCCGAUACUGACGCUGAGGAGCGAAAGCGUGGGGAGCAAACAGG